AGAGUUCGAUCAUGGCUCAGGAUGAACGCUGGCGGCGUGCUUAAUACAUGCAAGUCGAACGAAGCACUUAAGACGGACUUCUUCGGAAUGAAGACUUUUGUGACUGAGUGGCGGACGGGUGAGUAACGCGUGGGUAACCUGCCUUGUACAGGGGGAUAACAGUUGGAAACGACUGCUAAUACCGCAUAAGCCCACAGCUCGGCAUCGAGCAGAGGGAAAAGGAGCAAUCCGCUUUGAGAUGGCCUCGCGUCCGAUUAGCUAGUUGGUGAGGUAACGGCCCACCAAGGCGACGAUCGGUAGCCGGACUGAGAGGUUGAACGGCCACAUUGGGACUGAGACACGGCCCAG
rnacentral:rRNA from 1 species